GCAAAAUGAUGAUAUAAAGGCUAAUGUGACUCAACCAGCUGGGUUGGACCCUCAGUCCAUUCCAGUAAUACAGGUCUGUAAUCUUGGUGGGCAAUGCUGAGCUGUGCAUGUUCGCUGUAAGGGCAGGCCAACAGAAAAUCCACUUCCUCGUGUCCCUGGAAAAUACAUCUUCAGGAAACAUCAGCUCUGAGUGAGUGUUGCUUUGAGCUGACAGGAGGCUGUGGGAAUAGGAUAGGACAGCAUAUCCAAGGUUUGGGUUGCAGGGGCCAACCCACAGUAAAGCUGGUGAGAUGUGAGCACAAGUCUUUGGUAAUCUGAUGGCU